AGGACGAACGCUGGCGGUGUGCUUAACACAUGCAAGUCGAGCGGAAAGGCCCUUCGGGGUACUCGAGCGGCGAACGGGUGAGUAACACGUGAGUAACCUGCCCCUAGCUCUGGGAUAGCUCCGGGAAACCGGGAAUUAAUACCAGAUACGACCACUUUAGACAUCUGUCGUGGUGGAAAGGAUUCCGGCUAGGGAUGGGCUCGCGGCCUAUCAGCUUGUUGGUGGGGUAACGGCCUACCAAGGCGACGACGGGUA
rnacentral:rRNA from 1 species